GUGCCUGCUCUGGCAGCACAUACACUAAAAUUGGAAUGAUACAGACAAGAUUGGCAUGGCCCCUGCACAAGGAUAACAUACAAAUUGGUGCAGUGUUCCAUAUUUUU